rnacentral:rRNA from 1 species
GGUCGAGAUUCCUGCACUUCUUUGUUUCGUUUGAGUGAUGGAGGGACACAGGAGGCUAAGUCGAGCAUGCGACUGGAAAAGCAUGUCCAAGUAACAAGUCUGAAGAUGAGUUAAAUGCUUAUUUUCAUUAAGGACAAGUUAUGAUGGGGAGCGAAAUUUAAGUAGCGAAGCGACUGAUGUCACACUGUCAAGAAAAGCUUCUAGCGAGAAACAAAGGACCCGUACCGCAAACCGACACAGGUAGUCGAGGAGAGUAUCCUAAGGUGAGCGAGUGAACUAUCGUUAAGGAACUCGGCAAAAUGACCCCGUAACUUCGGGAGAAGGGGUGCUGACCGCAAGGUCAGCCGCAGUGAAUAGGCCCAAACAACUGUCUAUCAAAAACACAGGUCUCUGCAAAAUCGAAAGAUGACGUAUAGGGGCUGACGCCUGCCCGGUGCUGGAAGGUUAAGAGGAGUGCUUAGGUGUAAACCGAAGGUACGAAUUGAAGCCCCAGUAAACGGCGGCCGUAACGAUAACGGUCCUAAGGUAGCGAAAUUCCUUGUCGGGUAAGUUCCGACCCGCACGAAAGGCGUAAUGAUUUGGGCACUGUCUCAACGAUAGACUCGGUGAAAUUAUAUUACCCGUGAAGAUGCGGGUUACCCGCGACAGGGCGGAAAGACCCCAGGGAGCUUUACUGUAGCUUGAUAUUGAGUGUUUGUAAAACAUGUACAGGAUAGGUAGGAGCCGAAGAAGUAGGGACGCUAGUUUCUACGGAGGCAAUGGUGGGAUACUACCCUUGUUUUAUGAACAUUCUAACCCGCGCCACUCACGUGGCGGGAGACAGUGUCAGGUGGGCAGUUUGACUGGGGCGGUCGCCUCCUAAAGUGUAACGGAGGCGCUCAAAGGUUCCCUCAGAAUGGUUGGAAAUCAUUCGUAGAGUGUAAAGGUAAAAGGGAGCUUGACUGCGAGACAGACAAGUCGAGCAGGGACGAAAGUCGGACUUAGUGAUCCGGUGGUACCGUAUGGAAGGGCCAUCGCUCAACGGAUAAAAGCUACCCUGGGGAUAACAGGCUUAUCUUCCCCAAGAGUCCACAUCGACGGGAAGGUUUAGCACCUCGAUGUCGGCUCAUCGCAUCCUGGGGCUGAAGUUGGUCCCAAGGGUUGGGCUGUUCGCCCAUUAAAGCGGUACGCGAGCUGGGUUCAGAACGUCGUGAGACAGUUCGGUCCCUAUCCGUCGCGGGCGUAGGAAAUUUGAGAGAAGCUGUCCUUAGUACGAGAGGACCGGGAUGGACAUACCGCUGGUGUACCAGUUGUGCCGCCAGGCGCAGAGCUGGGUAGCUAUGUAUGGACGGGAUAAACGCUGAAAGCAUCUAAGUGUGAAGCCCCUCUCGAGAUGAGAUUUCCCAUAACAUAAGUUAGUAAGACCCCUCAGAGAUGAUGAGGUAGAUAGGCUGGGAGUGGAAGUCUAGUGAUAGAUGGAGCGGACCAGUACUAAUCGGUCGAGGGCUUGACCU